rnacentral:rRNA from 1 species
GGCGAACGCUGGCGGCGUGCUUAACACAUGCAAGUCGAACGGAAAGGCCCUGCUUUUGUGGGGUGCUCGAGUGGCGAACGGGUGAGUAACACGUGAGUAACCUGCCCUUGACUUUGGGAUAACUUCAGGAAACUGGGGCUAAUACCGGAUAGGAGCUCCUGCUGCAUGGUGGGGGUUGGAAAGUUUCGGCGGUUGGGGAUGGACUCGCGGCUUAUCAGCUUGUUGGUGGGGUAGUGGCUUACCAAGGCUUUGACGGGUAGCCGGCCUGAGAGGGUGACCGGCCACAUGGGGACUGAGAUACGGCCCAGACUCCUACGGGAGGCAGCAGUGGGGAAUAUUGCACAAUGGGCGGAAGCCUGAUGCAGCAACGCCGCGUGCGGGAUGACGGCCUUCGGGUUGUAACCGCUUUCGCCUGUGACGAAGCGUGAGUGACGGUAAUGGGUAAAGAAGCACCGGCUAACUACGUG